rnacentral:tRNA from 1 species
UUAAUUGAAGCCAAAGAGAGGCUUUUCAUUGUUAAUGAAAAAACUGAUUUAACAUCCAAUUAAA